GCUGCACGGGCCUCAUCCAUCCGGAGAUCUGUGAGAGCACAGCUGUUGCUCCUUAGAGGUUUCUUUUUCCUUGCCGGUCUCUUGUGUCUACUUACAAGAUUCCUCCAUGCCCAAAGAAAGUAUUUAAACCCUCCUGACACUUGCAUGACAGCUGGUGCAACCUGAUGUUUUGCUGCUCUGUGCUCAACAGGUGGUAGAAGAAAGUAGCAAGAUUUGAUUGAUGCAAGAGUAAAGAGAUGUUAGGAAGAAGGAAAUGCUUCAAAGAUGCUAAUUAAUCCUAUCUUGAAGUUUAUUAGUGGUUUAAUCAUGCUUGAUUAAAUUAACCUGUCCUUAUGUUCUUCACUUAGUAAAUUUGAUUAAAGCAGAUACUCUGUGUGA